rnacentral:lncRNA from 1 species
AUGGGGCCUGAUGGAGGCCCCGACAUGCCUAUAGAAAUUGGCCUUUUAGGACCCGCAGGGGAGGGUACAGGGCCAUGUCCACAAGAACAGAAGUGUGACUUUCUCAGGACCUGCUGGAGGAUUCUAGAGCCAUUGGUCGGAUACACAGCGACUUCGGCAGGGACUACUCAAAAACACAGUAUGAUGACUUUUCCUGCCUUCAUCUCCAGACCCAAGGAUACAGAACAAAGGCAACACAGAUCUGCACACUUCAAAAUGUCAACUGGAAUCUGCAAGCCCAGGUUCUCACAGGAGCUAAAGGUUAAAGGCCAAGGUGACAGGGGAGGCAGAUAGCAAGUAACCAAGAGAAAAUGUCAUGUGUCUGUGGCCACCUUCUCUACCUGUCAGAACCAAGCCACGGCUGACAGGUGGGAGCCACACCUGGACCUGGCCCCUCUGCCCGGGCUGCCCUUGAGCAUAGCAGAGGAAAUGCUGAGCUGGGUGUAGGUGUCCGGGGGAGAUGGGCAGUUGGCCACAGAGGCUACCUGCCAAGUACCUGUAGGACCAGUUCCUGGUCCUCAGCUAAGGUUAAACAACCAUUAUGUUUAUUUAUAUAUUUACUUGACAGGUAAUGUGCUCAGUGCUUUGAGAGACUAUAGUCUCUCCUAUCUUAUUUUUUUAACACUUUAUGGAGGUAUGAUUGAGAUACAAAAAGCUCUCCAUAAUUAAUGUAUGCAACUUGAUCCUGACCCUAACCCGAAUAUCUAGCUAGGAUUUAGAAUAUGUUCUGAUUUAGAAUAUGGUUCGUAAAUUAUAUGACGGGUUUUAGGAGCUGGGGAAUCCAGGACCAACCUUACCCUCCCUUGAAUGUGAUAGGUUGUAACACAUUCCGCCACAUGCUAUCUGCAGAGUGACCACACGAGGGCACCAGUGAGCACACAGCGCAAACCCCGCCCCCCACAAAGCCAAUGCUUCCCUCAUCCUGUACAACCUUGCUCAUUCAAUGUUUACAGAUCAUUUUAUAGAUUAUUAAAACUGUGACUUUGUUGAAUUUUUUAAAAGCCAAACUAAUUCCUUGAAACUGUUAAAAUUAUGUUUUCUAAAAUUCUCGGAGUUGGUCCUGGGGAGCAAAUGAAAACCUGGGGGCCUGGGAAAAACUGGUAUUGAAUACUUUAAGAUCUACUUAGAUAACAAGUAUGAAUUAUACUCUACUUAUUUUCAGAAAUAAUUCGUCUCAACUAACAGUAUUGAACUCACACAAUACAGUGCAUUUCGAGGGGAAAACAAAAAACAAGAAUCAACAGCCUCAAGAAGCAGAGAAAGAGCCACACCCAGGAACAAAGAAUGCACACCUCAGAGGCUGUGCUCAGGCCAGUGAGCAGUCUGCAGAUCCUCUGUAGCUAGAAUGCCCCCUGUGCCCCAGGAAAUAGUGGGUUGGGCAGAGCUUGUACCCUGAUGAUGCACUGUCCUAACCAAUAGCAAGUCUCCUAGUCAUUUCCUCCAUGAGACACCUCCAACCCCUGACUCCUCCAGCCUGUUUCUUGGAACUCCCGAUUCUCUUUUUGGCCUCAUUGUUUACUUUUCCCUUCACUUACAUAGUAUAUGUAUAUGUUUAAUUACAUACUAUUCUGUCAUUUAAAUAUUUUUGUCAUGUUCUCAAUGAAACUAUGAUUUGCACCAUCCACCCUGAUUUACAAUCACUUAUUGAUAUUGCACGACCUAACUGGGGACUCAGAAUACCCUCACAGUGUUCUGGCAAGGUCCUCACUAAGCCAGUUCAUCCUGCAGCUGUUGCAGUGAAGGCCUGAUCCAGGCACUGCUAUUUUUGUGCAAGUAAGACAGCACUAGCCAAAACUUCGGCUCAGCCACAUCAAAUGGCAUGUAGGCCCACCCUGAAGACACUUGCUAGUCCAGUGUUCCCCUAGUUAAUGUCCAUGCAACAGCCAUUGUGUCAAAUGGGAACUCACUAUGAGAGGGGUGGAUGACAGACAGAAUUCCUGAGAUAGAAUCUAUCUUGGAGACUACCUAGGAGUUCAUCACAUAGUUCUUGAAUGAAUAAAUUAAUCUAAAAAUAUUUCCUAAUUUUAUAAAUGAUGAACCUGAAUCUCACAUUGACUCACCUAAGUCGUAUUGGAAAUCAGUGACAGAGCCAGACUGAGAUUGAGUAUGACCUCCAGUGUGAAUACUGAGAGUGGCUUUCGCUGGAGCCACAACCACCCAUUUAACUUUUCUGGACUGACAGGCUCUGGUGUAACUCUUUGUGUGGCAUAUCCUGGGAACAAAGAUCAUGUCAGUGUCCCAGAAAUCUCUUACACUGAUUAUAAUGAGACUUUAUAAUGCCAAUGGAGUCCCAAG